rnacentral:rRNA from 1 species
UACGAAGGGGGCUAGCGUUGUUCGGAAUUACUGGGCGUAAAGGGCGCGUAGGCGGUGUGUCAAGUCAGGCGUGAAAGCCCCCGGGCUCAACCUGGGAACCGCGCUUGAGACUGGCACGCUAGAGUCCGGGAGAGGAUGGUGGAAUUCCCAGUGUAGUGGUGAAAUACGUAGAGAUUGGGAAGAACACCAGUGGCGAAGGCGGCUAUCUGGACGGUUUCUGGACACUAAGACUCGAAAGCGUGGGGAGCAAACAGG